rnacentral:rRNA from 1 species
GAUGAACGCUAGCUACAGGCUUAACACAUGCAAGUCGAUGGGAAACGCCAUCGAAAGCUUGCUUUUGAUGGGCGUCGACCGGCGCACGGGUGAGUAACGCGUAUCCAACCUGCCCAUCACUUGGGGAUAACCUUGCGAAAGUAAGACUAAUACCCAAUGAUAUCUCUAGAAGACAUCUGAAAGAGAUUAAAGAUUUAUCGGUGAUGGAUGGGGAUGCGUCUGAUUAGCUUGUUGGCGGGGUAACGGCCCACCAAGGCAACGAUCAGUAGGGGUUCUGAGAGGAAGGUCCCCCACAUUGGAACUGAGACACGGUCCAAACUCCUACGGGAGGCAGCAGUGAGGAAUAUUGGUCAAUGGGCGAGAGCCUGAACCAGCCAAGUAGCGUGCAGGAAGACGGCCCUAUGGGUUGUAAACUGCUUUUAUAAGGGAAUAAAGUGAGAGUCGUGACUCUUUUUGUAUGUACCUUAUGAAUAAGGACCGGCUAAUUCCGUG